GCCUCGGUGGUGUAGUGGUCAAGACGCUCGCCUGGUAAACAGGAGGGCGUGGGUUGACCUCCCAUCCGAGGCA
rnacentral:tRNA from 1 species